rnacentral:rRNA from 1 species
GAGUUUGAUCCUGGCUCAGAUUGAACGCUGGCGGCAUGCUUUACACAUGCAAGUCGAACGGUAACAGGUCUUCGGAUGCUGACGAGUGGCGAACGGGUGAGUAAUACAUCGGAACGUGCCUAGUAGUGGGGGAUAACUACUCGAAAGAGUAGCUAAUACCGCAUGAGAUCUACGGAUGAAAGCAGGGGAUCGCAAGACCUUGUGCUACUAGAGCGGCUGAUGGCAGAUUAGGUAGUUGGUGGGGUAAAGGCUCACCAAGCCAACGAUCUGUAGCUGGUCUGAGAGGACGACCAGCCACACUGGAACUGAGACACGGUCCAGACUCCUACGGGAGGCAGCAGUGGGGAAUUUUGGACAAUGGGCGAAAGCCUGAUCCAGCAAUGCCGCGUGCAGGAUGAAGGCCCUCGGGUUGUAAACUGCUUUUGUACGGAACGAAAAGCUCUGGGCUAAUAUCCCGGAGUCAUGACGGUACCGUAAGAAUAAGCACCGGCUAACUACGUGCCAGCAGCCGCGGUAAUACGUAGGGUGCAAGCGUUAAUCGGAAUUACUGGGCGUAAAGCGUGCGCAGGCGGUUAUGUAAGACAGAGGUGAAAUCCCCGGGCUCAACCUGGGAACUGCCUUUGUGACUGCAUGGCUAGAGUACGGUAGAGGGGGAUGGAAUUCCGCGUGUAGCAGUGAAAUGCGUAGAUAUGCGGAGGAACACCGAUGGCGAAGGCAAUCCCCUGGACCUGUACUGACGCUCAUGCACGAAAGCGUGGGGAGCAAACAGGAUUAGAUACCCUGGUAGUCCACGCCCUAAACGAUGUCAACUGGUUGUUGGGUCUUAACUGACUCAGUAACGAAGCUAACGCGUGAAGUUGACCGCCUGGGGAGUACGGCCGCAAGGUUGAAGCUCAAAGGAAUUUGANNGGGACCCGCACAAGCGGUGGAUGAUGUGGUUUAAUUCGAUGCAACGCGAAAAACCCUUACCCACCUUUGACAUGUACGGAAGUUACCAGAAAGAUG